rnacentral:rRNA from 1 species
CAGUCGAGCGGAGAUAUGAAUCUGAGAGCUUCGGCAGGAUGAUUUCAUAUCUUAGCGGCGGACGGGUGAGUAACGUGUGGGCAACCUGCCCUGUACUGUGGAAUAAUCACUGGAAACGGUGACUAAUACCGCAUGUCAUCCGAAGAGGGCAUCCUCUUUGGAGAAAAGGAUUUAUUCGGUACAGGAUGGGCCCGCAUCUGAUUAGCUAGUUGGUGAGAUAACAGCUCACCAAGGCAACGAUCAGUAGCCGACCUGAGAGGGUGAUCGGCCACAUUGGGACUGAGACACGGCCCAAACUCCUACGGGAGGCAGCAGUGGGGAAUAUUGCACAAUGGGCGAAAGCCUGAUGCAGCAACGCCGCGUGAAGGAUGAAGGGUUUCGGCUCGUAAACUUCUAUCAACAGGGACGAAAAAAAUGACGGUACCUGAAUAAGAAGCCCCGGCUAACUACGUGUCAGCAGCCGCGGUAAUACGUAGGGGGCAAGCGUUAUCCGGAAUUACUGGGUGUAAAGGGAGAGUAGGCGGCAUGGUAAGUUAGAUGUGAAAGCCCGAGGCUUAACCUCGGGAUUGCAUUUAAAACUAUCAAGCUAGAGUACAGGAGAGGUAAGUGGAAUUCCUAGUGUAGCGGUGAAAUGCGUAGAUAUUAGGAAGAACACCAGUGGCGAAGGCGACUUACUGGACUGAAACUGACGCUGAGGCUCGAAAGCGUGGGGAGCGAACAGGAUUAGAUACCCUGGUAGUCCACGCCGUANACGAUGAGUGCUAGGUGUCGGGGGGGAACCCUCGGUGCCGCAGCUAACGCAAUAAGCACUCCACCUGGGGAGUACGAUCGCAAGAUUGAAACUCAAAGGAAUUGACGGGGGCCCGCACAAGCGGUGGAGCAUGUGGUUUAAUUCGAAGCAACGCGAAAGACCUUUACAGGGCUUGACAUCCCUCUGACCGGUGUAGAGAUACACCUUCUCUUCGGAGCAGGGGUGACAGGUGGUGCAUGGUUGUCGUCAGCUCGUGU